rnacentral:rRNA from 1 species
UACAGAGGUCCCAAGCGUUGUUCGGAUUCACUGGGCGUAAAGGGUGCGUAGGAGGCUGGGAAAGUCGGAUGUGAAAUCUCACCGCUUAACGGUGAAACUGCAUUCGAUACUACUUAGCUAGAGGAUCGGAGGGGAGAGCAGAAUUCUUGGUGUAGCGGUGAAAUGCGUAGAUAUCAAGAGGAAUACCAACAGCGUAGGCAGCUCUCUGGAAGAUUCCUGACUCUGAGGCACGAAGGCCAGGGGAGCAAACGGG